ACACCGGCGGCCCGAGUGGUGAUCGUGAUUAUUGGGUCUAAAGGGUCCGUAGCCGGUUUGGUCAGUCCUCCGGGAAAUCUGAUAGCUCAACUAUUAGGCUUUCGGGGGAUACUGCCAGACUUGGAACCGGGAGAGGUAAGAGGUACUACAGGGGUAGGAGUGAAAUCUUGUAAUCCCUGUGGGACUACCUGUGGCGAAGGUGGCUUACCGUAGCGGGUUCGACGGUGAUGGACGAAAGCGGGGUGGUCAACCCGGUUUACGCGCCGGGUUAGGCCCAGCCGUAAACGAUGCUCGCUAGGUGUCAGGCGUGGCGCGACCGUGCCGGGUGCCGCAUGGAAGACGUGAAGCGAGCCACCUGGGAAGUACGGCCGCAAGGCUGAAACUUAAAUGAAUUGGCGGGG
rnacentral:rRNA from 1 species